UGAUUACCCUUACACUAUCCUUGUUAUUUUAGGAAUCAAAACUCUCUUUACUUUCUUGGUAUCCAUAGACCAAAUGAAGCAUCAAAGGGAAUUCUUCUGCAUUUGCAAUAGGGAAAAGAUAAUCUGUCCUUUUGAUUUUGCCUAAUGCUAUUAAAUCUUCAGUUCUGCAGAAGCCUGGUUUUUCAGAAAUAUGAUCUGAGCCAGAGUCUCAGGUACCCUGGCAGACACAAUUGGUGCUGUUGUUUCCUUUACUGGCCUGUCUCCCUCUCCCUCUCUCACAGCCCCACCCCUCCCCAACACUGAGAGUUUGAGAGUGAAGGUCCCUGACACAGAGGAAUUUGUGCCUAAGGCUGGGAAUACCCUGGUGGCUGCUCAGCUACUUAGAGAAAGAAUGAAAACAGCUUACAGGUCCUGAGACUGGCAAAUUUCAUAAGGUUCCUGUCUUUGUGAUUUGCUAAGUAAAUUUGGUAGAUAAACUUGCACUAACUAAAAAGAGACGUUUGAAAUAAAUACCGACACUAUUUCAGUUAUAUCAUUCACCUUUAUGAUUUGGUGAAUUAAUAAUAAUAGUCAUGUUAUUUGUUAGCUGAUUGAUUUACAAUGUGCUGGACAGCGAGCUUGAGUUGCCAUCCAAAUCCUGACUGACGCUGAAAAAUUAGGUGUAUAUUUAUUUGUUUGGAAUAGUGACUGAAAAAGGAAGGAGCGGAAGGUUUUGAAGGGAAUCUAAAAGUAUUUUAAAGGAGUGGUUUCAAAUCUUUUGAACUGGGAUAUUUACAGAAAAAUUAUAGGCCAUUUAUCAAUAGAAAAGUUCAUAAUGGCAGAAUGUUAUUAUCAAUUUAAUAACAUGUUCAAGUGAAUUUGCGUUUUAAGAAGAGGGAAAACAGUCAUCUACAUGGGUUUGUAGAAAACAAAAGCAAGAGUGUGAGCACAUUCAGUGUUAGACAAUAAUUGGUGCAUAUGUGGGCCCACUCACACAUUUCUUGAGCACCUGUUGAGUAGGCCACCGUGUUCGGAGUUCAAGUCAGGAGGGGGCGGUGGAUACAGCUUUGUGUAAGUAAGAAAUAAGUCACAUUCCUGUCCUUGUGGAAUUUACACAAUGCUGGAGUCCUCCAGGAUACCUGAAGCUCAUAGAUAAGAACCGUAUCAAUGAUCAUCCAUCAAUUUUGACAGUAACUGAAACUAGAUCAUCUUCAAAUCACACACUCUGUACGGAUUUCAAUAGUCAACUCUCAAAAUUGUAAAGGAACUUAUAUUUUAUUCAGGUCAGUGUUUUUCUCUUUUGCUUAGGUUGGGGAAGAACUUGGAAAUCACGUGUUCUGGAUUUAAUAUUAAGAAAAAUUGAGAUAUUAAGCCUGAAAUAGCUAACUAUCAAUUUCAUGCCAGUUAAAUAAAAACCAAACUUUCACUGUGGAUGCCAGUAAUUUAGCAUAUAAAUCAAUGAAUGAGAAACUUCAAGUUGAGAAGCUUCUAUCUUAUCAGAUUACUUUGUCCUAUAAAUUAGAAAAAUAUGACUGCAAUUAUAUUUUACCCCAGAGGAAAAGACUUAUUUUACCCAAUGUAUUUUCGCUUGAUGUUGUUGUUGCUGUUUUUUUUUUAACAGCUUAUUGGAGGCAUACUUUACAUACUGUAAAAUAUAUCCAAGUGUGUAAUCCAAUGAUUUUUAGUAAAUUUAUGGAAUUGUGACCAAAGGCCAAUCCAUCACUGCCAUCCAAUUUUAGAACAUUCUCAUUAUCCCUGAAAGACUCCACCUGCCUAUUUGUUAUGACUAUCCUCAACCCCAUUCCCAGACAACCACUGAUCUAUUUUCUCUCUCUUUUGAUUUGACUUUCUGGACAUUUCACACAAAUGGGAUCACAAAACGUAUAUAGUCUUUAGCAUCUAGUUUCCUUCACGUAGAACAGUGUUUUUGAGGUUCAUACAUGAGGUGUAGCAUGUAUCAGUAGUUGGUUCCUUUUUAUUGCUAACUAAUAUUCAUUCCGUGGUGUAGCUGGCCCACAUUUUGUUCACCAGCGGGUAGGUAUUUCUGCAUUUACCUUUAAGUGGUAAGACAGAUACUGCGGUCCAGCUUCCAUGGUAGCAUAAUGUGAAAUAAUUGUAGGGUCCAACCUCUUAUUUAUACUUAUGAAAAACAUAUUCAUGGUAUGGAAUACACCAAUAGUUUCUGUGUUUGCCAUAACUGUGAUCUUUCUAUGACGCUCCCACAAAAAGAGUAAAUAGUCAACCCUGUGCAAGGAACAGAAAGCAUGAGUCAUUUGGUAUUCUAGGUUGGACUCGGAAGAUGUUUCACUCUUUUUUUAUUUUUUUAAUGUUUAUUUAUUUUUUUAGAGAGAAAGACAGAGGGUGAGCAGGGGAGGGGUAGAGAGAGAGGGAGACACAGAAUCCAAAAAAGGCUCCAGGCUCUAAGCUGUCAGCCCAUGAACCGUGAGAUUAUGACCUGAGGCAAAGUCGGACAUUUAACCAACUUGAGCCACGCAGGCGCCCGGAAGAUGUUUCACUCUUGACAUUAAUAUUUGCGAAGAGACUACAUCUCCUUUGCUACCUGCUCUUCACAAAUGAUGCAUUUAGAGUGGGCGAAUUUUGAUGAUUGUUUUAUUUAACAGUGAUAACUGAAGUACUCUCAAAAAUAUGAGUGCUUCCUAAUAACAUAUUUUAAUGGCACACUUAACGUAAAGCAUAUCAGAAAUUUCUAGCACUGCAAAAGCAUUGACCUUUGGUUUCCCUCUCUUAGGAAUCAGGAACCUUGAAUAGCAGCUCAGUCAGAACCCCCACUCACCCUGCUUUGUGCGGACUACUACAGCAAAUGCAUUCUUAGGUUACAGUUGACAAUUUAUGCUUAAAGAUCCUCUUAGAAGGAUUUCUCCGGUUGAGUAGAAACCCUUCUAGUCAAAGUUGGCAGAUUCUGUGAAACUCAAGAGAAGACAAUGUCUCUUCAUGCGUGGAAGUUACUGCUGACAUUACACUUUCCUGUUGGGGAAAAAAGAACAUUAAUAUAAUUUAAAGGUUGAUUUUAUUGAUGACUUGGAAUGCAAAGGAUUUUAUUUUUAAAAUUCUAAAAUUUGAAAGAUAGUUUAGAUUAAAUAAUGUAGUUUUCCAAAGCUGAAUGUGCUGAAUAGAACUCGUUUUUUUUUUUUUCUUCUUCUUCUUCUUUCUGCUUGAAAUACCGGAACAACUUGCUGAAAUCCCUUGGGUGAGAACACUGUGGUUUUGAUGAUCUGUGAUUGGAUGAAUUAAUCAGUCUCCACUGGGAAGCCAGGCUUAAUGUGAUGGAAACACUCUUGAACUUGGUGUCCAGAAGACAAAGGCUUGAGUUACACCUCUGUUAGUGUUACUGUGACCUUGGAGCCAGAAUUCACAAUGACAACAGUAACCGUAACCACAGAGGUUCCCCCAAGGGGUAAAAUAGAAGAUAAUUCUGCCUUGUAUGAGUCCACAUCAGCUCAGAUUAUUGAAGAGACUGAAUAUGUGAAAAAGAUCCGAACUACUUUGGAAAAGAUCCGAAAUCAAAUUUUUAAAGACGAAGUAGGACGUAACAGCACAAAUCACAGACUAGAAACAAAGCGCUGCCCAAACAUUCACAGCGGCUCUGGUUCUGAAAUGGAUCCCUCGUAUUGCAGUUUGCAUCUGCUCGUGGAAAGGAUGAAAGGAAAAGACCUGAAGCUCUUAGAAAUGAACAAAGAGAAUGAAGUCUUGAAAAUCAAGCUGGAAGCUUCCAGAGAAGCAGGAGCGGCGGCUCUGAGAAACGUGGCACAGAGGUUAUUUGAAAUCUACCAAACACAGUCGGAAGAAGUUAGAAAGAAACAUGAGGAUGAUAAACGCUUCCUCAAGGUUAACAAACUUGAAAAGGAACAACAACUGAAACAACAUGUUGGAAAUCUGAAUCAAGUUGCUGAAAAGCUUGAAGAAAAACAUAAUCAAAUCACAGAGUUGGAGAACCUUGUACAGAGGAUGGAAAAGGAAAAGAGAACACUGCUAGAAAAAAAACUGUCUUUGGAAAACAAGCUGCUGCAACUCCAAUCCAACGCUACAUAUGCUAAAAGUUGCCACGAUCUUCAAAUGGAAAUUGCCCUUCUGCAGGAGCAGACCUCUCAUCUACAGUUUGUGAUUCAUUCCCAACAUCAGAACCUGCGCAGCGUCAUCCAGGAGAUGGAAGGAUUAAAAACUAAUUUGAAAGAACAAGAUAAAAGGAUUGAAAAUCUGAAAGAAAAAGUUAACAUACUUGAAGCCCAGAGAGACAAACAGAGUGUGAGCAGGUGAUGGGCAGAGAGAGGGAGACGCAGAAUCCAAAGCGGGCUCCAGGCUGUCAGUGCAGAGCCUGAUGUGGGGCUCAAACUCACAAACCACAGGAUCUUGACCUGAGCCAACGUCGGACGCUUAACCGACUGAGCCACCCAGUGUUUUGAAACCUGAAGCCUAGCAUAACGCUUCAUAAUUUACCAUCAGAAACGUGCUUUUCUUCCCACCCACUCAUCUCCGCUUCACUAGGGAAGCCCUUUAUAGACUUUCGGCUACAGACCCAGGCUCCGGCUGUGCCCCACCUCCCAGCAAGUGCAGCAAAGCCCACACAGAGGUGGCUGGAGUGCCCAAGAUGCCACAGCUGCGUCCACCUGGGCUCUAGCCGGUGCUCAGGGCCACCGCUUCCUUCUCUGUCAGAGACUCAUCAUUCGCCGCCUGGACGGGUCAGCUUUUCUACUUCAUUCUUCUGUGCUUCGACUUCCUGCCACGCACUCCUGUCCCAAGGAACACAGAGACGCUCUGACUUCCACUAGAUUUCUCCUCCUCUCUGGGGGCUUUUCUCCCCCCACAGGGUAGCCCAGGGAGGAGCCGCACCACCAUACUCCCAGCACACUGCCACACCGUUUCUCGCACCACCGUGUUCUUUCUGCUUUCCCCAAACAAAUCAUAAUAACGUGAAGAGGCCGUAAAUAUGUUUACAUCUUAACUUUUGUAACCAUUGCCGUGUUUUGCCAUGUCGACCUUCCCAGAGGACCACUGUUCUCUCUGUCCUGGAGGUUGGGGCCUCGAAGCCUCGGGCUUUUCUUAGAUUUUCACCUUCUUUAGGUUACACGUGACUGGUUGAUAAAAAUACUUGCAUCUCUGUGCAGCUGAAAAAUGCAACGAUUUUUCUGGAAUAAUUGGUUCAAAACUGGUUUCCCCUCCAGUGCCCAGUAACGGCUGGUCAGUCUCAAGGGGCCUCAGAUGAUGGGAUUCAUACCCCUUUGAGCCUCUUCCUCCCAAGAAAGGUAUCUAAGGGUAUUUCCUCACAGCUUUGUGUACUUUUGGCAAACAUUUUGGCAAAUGUUACUUGAGAGAAUAUUUUUUCUUUUAUGAUUUGUAUGUAACUAAUAUAUAGUCAUUCUUUUCUAUAUAAAUAAAGAAAUAUGGAUAGCCAAAUAUAAUAAGAAAAUUAUGCAAACCUGCCAUCCAUGAGUCAGCACAGUUGUGUAUAUCUGUUUUUCUAUGGGACUCUUAUGUGCCUGGUACAUAUGUGUGCAUAGGUAUUAAACAUAUAGACUAUUUAUGGCAUAAUGUCUAUAUCACUGUAUUUUUAUUUAUUUAAUUUAUUUAAUUUUAAAUGUUUAUUUAUUUUCGAGAGAGAGAGAGGUAGACAGGGAGGGGUGGGGAGAGACGGGGACAGAGGAUCCGAAGCAGGCUCUGUGCUGACAGCAGAGAGCCUGAUGCAGGGCUCCAACUCAUCAACUGUGAGAUCAUGAUCCGAGCUGAAUUCGUACACGUAACCAACUGAGCCACCCAGGAGCCCCUAUUUCAUUGUAUUUUUAAGCUUUUAUUCAUUUCACUCAUUUGCUCACAUCAUCAAUCUUGUAGUUAAUUCUAGAAGUACCUAUUGAGUGGCUACUAUGAUGUAGAUGCUAAGGCAGGGAAAACAAUAUUGAAUAAAAUAGACAUAAGUGAGCCCUGCACUCUGGACUUUACUGCCUAGAGAGGGAGACAGACACAUAAAUGAACACGUAACUUGCAAUAUUUUGGAAGCAUUCUGCCAGAAAAGAACAAGAUAUUCUGAGAGAGAACACCUGGAUAGAAGAUUUAGAUUGGUGGGUGGGAGCAAGCUCUCUAAGAAAAUGAGUUUUAAUCUGAGCUUAGUGGAAAACUGGGUGGUAGGGCAGGUCAGGCAGAAGGACAGGGAGCCAUUGUGAUUGCUUCUAAUCCGAGAGUGGUAUGUAAUAGCAUGGAAUGACAUUGGAAAAGUAGGAAGAGACCAUGCCGAGGAGUCUUUUUCUCUAUAUAGCAAUAUAUCAAGAAGUCUAUGCUUACCAAACAAAUUUCAUUUGUAUUAUCUUUAAAUGGCCACUAUAUUGAUCUACAAUAAUUUAAUUAACUCACUCCUUUUUGUUGGACCUUAGAUUGUUUUUCAGUAUUACAAUUGUGGGGUUUUUGUUGUUGUUUUGUUUUGUUUUGAAUUUUUUUAAUGUUUAUUUAUUUUUGAGAGAGAGAGACAGAGCAUGAGCAGGGAGGGGCAGAGAGAGAGGGAGACACAGAAUCUGAAGCAGUCUCCAGGUUCCAAACUGUCAGCACAGAGCCCGAUGUGGGGCUUGAACUCAUGAACUGAGAAAUCAUGACCUGAGCAGAAGUCGGACGCUUAACCAACGGAGCCACCCAGGCACCCCUCAGUAUUGCUUUUGUAAACAACACUGAAUUCAACAUCUUUAUACAAAGAUCACUAAUCAUUUAUAUAUUUACUUCCUUCCUUAAGAUAAAUUUUUAGAAGUGGAAUUGGUAACUCAGAGUAUAUCCAUUUUUAAGGUUUUUGAUAAUGUGUUCUCUGACUUCUAGGUUUCUGCAAGAUCAGUCAUCUCCCUCAGUGGCCACAGGCCCACCUGCAGCUGCCUCUGCUCGGGCAGUCAACAGUCCUUCAGUCCUCAUAUUUCCAAUCUUCUGAUAGUCUUUUUCCCCCCUCUCUAUUACUAAGGGAUUUUAAUACAUAGAAAUCAUUUGUUAUUAUUUUAAUAAAAUAUAAGAAGGGGGAGAUGAUAAACACAUGUUCUCAGAUUCCCAUUUUGGACUGGGAAUCUCAUUUAAAUCCAAGUUUACAUGUAAUUCAUGAAGUUUGGUGUGAGGUAGGGAUCUAACUUUUUAGUUGUCUCACUUUACUGAGAAGUCUGGGCUUUUUUCAUGCAUUUGAAAUGCCUUUUAUCCUAAACUGAAGUUUCAUGUUGGAAAUCUGUUCCAAUGGUGUAUCUGCCUGUUUUGGCUCCAGUGCCCUCUUGCUUUACUCACUGCACUUUGGUAAUACAUUUUAAUUGGAGAGAUUACCUGUCUCUGGGCUUUCACUGCAUUGUGGUUCUGGGUUCUGGGUCAGACGUAAUGAAGUGCCAGCUGUCAUCACAGGAUCAAGGUAUCAAUGGUACUACCAGAACAAUGUAUUUGUUUCCAGUGUACUCUGUUUCUAUUUUCUCAAAAAUUCAGCAAAUAAUUGCUGAUUAGCCACUUGGUAUGAUAUGAGAAAGCAACAGAUUUGUUCCCCUCAUGGAAACUUCUUGGUUGGCCACAGACUCUUUGCAGUGAUGUGAAAGCACCUCUCAAUACUGUCUCAGAUUCUCUGUAGAUAGCUUGAUUCAAGCCACUAUAUAUUAAUGUUUUCUUUUACAAAAAGGCUUCAAACUAUGGCACUAUUGGAUGAAUGUCUUUAUAUAUUCUCAAAAUUUAUUAUCUUCUGUAGAUAAAUCUUUUCCUUCACAGCAAGGAAUUUUACAGUAACCACUUCAGCUUUAUAAAGUCCAAACCACAUGAAUUUAAUUUAUCCAUCAAAUAGUUAUGUGUCUUUAUGAUGUACCAGGAAAUGUUUCAAAUGUUGAGUAUAUGGGUAAUGCACAGAACAGACUGUCCCUGACCUCAUCUAGCUUAUACUUUAUUUGAAAAUACAGAUAAUCGGGGCGCC